GUAGAUAAUAUUAUUUAGAGACAAAUUUUAUUUAUCUUAUUAGCUUCUCUAAAUAUAAAAAUAUUUAUAAAUUAAUUUAACACGUCAUAUUAAAAAAAAAAAAAACAAAAUAUAGAGAUUAAUAUUGUGUUGCGCUCGGCAAAACUGAUAAACUAAAUCGUAGUCGCGUGCCACCGUGCAAUGACAAUGCAUCGUCGAGUCAAACGAAUCGAACGUGUGUCCGAACUCUCGUGCUAUUAAUUUCUCAUCGGAGUAAAUGAAAUACGCGUUGCAUUCGACAGAACAUAAUUUACGGAUUGGAAUUAAUGCGCCUCGCGAAAGCUAAGGUCCCAGACCUUUGUUAUUUAAUCGCGCUACAUCAUUUCCACGCUAAUAGAUUUCACCUUCGACGUUUCAUUUCGGAUCAGAUCAUUUGCAUUCAUACGCGUGCGCCACCGUGUAUAACUCACGACGUUACACGUUCAUUUUCUUUCCUCCGCGAGAAUUCACCUCGGAAUACACGUUCGAUCGAACACAACACGCUCGAUCGAUAUUGUUCCAUUACACCAAUAAUUACGUUCGAUCGUUGUUUCGUUUGUUUGUCGUGUAGUACAGAAUUGUUCGAGCAUCGUACGAAAUGUCGAUGCACCUUGAAUUUUUAAUUUGAUACGCGUUACGAUACUUGUCGUCGUCGUAAAAAUUGAAAAUUAAUGGUAAAAUGAAUUUUGAUGGAAUAGAAAUUGAAAAAGAGAGUGAACUUUUGAAUAUAAUUUAAUCAGAAUGUUUUUUGAAAUGUGGUUACAGAUGACAGAGAAGGAAAAUUUCGUUAUGUGUAGAGUAAAUUUUUGUAAUUGCUUGGAAAC